GCGGGCGUAACUCAGUUGGUAGAGUGCUAGCUUCCCAAGCUGGAUGUCGCCGGUUCGAGCCCGGUCGCCCGCU
rnacentral:tRNA from 1 species